UACGUAGGGGGCGAGCGUUAUCCGGAUUCACUGGGUGUAAAGGGAGCGUAGACGGCCGUGCAAGCCAGGAGUGAAAGCCCGGGGCCCAACCCCGGGACUGCUCUUGGAACCGUGCGGCUGGAGUGCGGGAGGGGCAGGCGGAAUUCCUGGUGUAGCGGUGAAAUGCGUAGAUAUCAGGAGGAACACCGGCGGCGAAGGCGGCCUGCUGGACCGCGACUGACGUUGAGGCUCGAAAGCGUGGGGAGCGAACAGG
rnacentral:rRNA from 1 species